GUAUUGAUUUGUUUAGAUGUAGCCCAGGAGAAAAAGACGUCCCAGAUUCUGUAAUAUGUGGUAGACGUAGAGCGCUUCCUUGCUUGUAGUAGAGUGUCUAUUACUGCCUGUGAGAAUCCUUUUCCUUUUAACCCUUUCCUUUCAACUUCCAUGCCAUCAGAUUGAGAGAUGCUGGGUCUGGGUGGAGAACAGGGCCUUGAUGUAGAAGCGAAGGAAUCUUUGGAAGCUGCCAAGGAUCUGAUUUGCAAAGGCUCAAUAGUAGGGGAAACCAAGGUCUGCGUGGCCAAAAGGGGGCUAUGAGAAUAAUGGAUACCUUCUCUUGUCCUAACCGUCUCAGAAGUGGAAAGAUGAGUGGAGUAGGAGAGAAUGCGUAACCUAGGUUGAAUUGCCAAUCGCUCGAUAGGGC